rnacentral:lncRNA from 10 species
UGAAUACUGAAGGGUUGGUAGGGGACCAGAGAAUAGAGGAAGCAUUGUAGGUUCUAGAGUGGAGAAGGGACCAUCCAAAAUGGAGUUUGAAAGAGAAUUCUGGCCUUUGUGUUUAGAGUCUGGAAUUGUCAAGAGUCUGAAAGCACAGAAUAAGACUGCAGCUAGAGCAAUUUAGGCGCCAUAGUUUGUCAAAACAGAGACGGGAUCUCACUGUGUUGCCCAGGCUGGUCUCGAACUGCUGGACUCAAGUCAUCCUCCCAUCUUGGCCUCCCAAAGUGCUGGAAUUACAGUGGACAACCUUCAAUGCACUGGUACUUUGUACCCUGACCUCUACUGUGAUGAACACUCAACUUGGGCAAGGAAGUGAAAUUCUCCAAAGGAAUUAUUAAGAUAAGGACCAGCAGUACAAUGAGCUUUUCACUGUAUGUCUGACCUGAAAGAAGAAAAUCUUUUCAGAGGACUCCUCUCUCCCCUUCAGUCGCCAAGACAAUGAGAGCUCUUGCUACAGAAUACUCAUGGUCAUUUCUUCCCCUGGCAUUCAUAAACUAACAUGGUUCCCAAGCACUACCUUGUUGGCUGAGAGAGAGUCCCCGCCUGUGUUGGGAGGCAGGCUGAGGGCUGCGACGGCUGCUGUGGUGAUUGCUGCUGCUGCAUGCGAUCCUGCAGGCUCCGUGCUUUUCGAAUACUGAUUUGCAACUUCUUAUCGACUAGGGCUCUGCUGUGCGUGCUACAGCUGGCACCAUGCAGGGCAAGUCUUAGUUUAGCUAAAAUGCAAAAGAAAAUAUAGCAGAAACAGAACACAAAACACAAAUAAAAAUAAAAAGAAUAAAAUUGAAAAAAAA